CAAACCCCAAAAAAAGGAGAGAAGAAAACUACAUCUUUACCUCAUUUAUUUAAUAAAUGAUUUCAAAUGAUCAUUAUGACUUGCUAUAGCUCAGUUAAUAAUACAAUUUCAUGGUACUAUUGGGUAGGAGGAGAAGACAGAAGCACUCUAAAAGAAAUUGCAUAAAGGGAAAAUAAUUACUAAUGCCAAUAGUAAAACAUACAUUGACAUACAUACAUACAUAUAUACAUACGUACACACAUGUAUAAAAGUAUUAUAGUAUCUUUGUGAUCAGUUUUUCGAUAUUUAAUGUAAAUAUCUAAAUAGUGUAGUCACAAGGAAUAAAACAUCAGUUAUAUUUAAAGUACCAAAAUAAUGAUUGAUGUCUAAGGUUUAAGUCACAUUACAUUAUAGUGAUUCUACCAACCACACACCAAAAUUAUACUCUUUACUUAAGGCUCCAUCACUGGGUUCUGUCUACAGUAUCCUCUCUAUGCAAAACAAUAUUACACUGUUCAUCUCACACACCAUAGACUCUAGAGAGGUUAAGUGCAAAAUCACACACUCUAGACAAAGUGGUUCUCCAGCUAAAGAGACUCAUGGGGAGGACUCAUGAGUGGCUCACCUCUGUGUCCCAGCACCUGGCUCGAGGCCCAGAACACUGUAGAUGCUCAGUAAAUUUUUGUUAGAUUGAAGUAAAAUUAUACCAUAAAGAUGAGUAACUUUUUAGCCCUUGGUUCUAUGGGUGACAGCUCUCUGAAACCAGUAUCUGAGAGGAUUCUCACCAUGUUUAGUAUCUAACAUUAGCCAUACUCUCUCCAAAUUCAGACAGUAGGUGGAUAUUGGGCUUUAGUGGUAAUACGUGCAUUUGUAAUAUGCAAUGUCAUUGUUAGUACAAUUAAAAAAAAGAACAGUAAAAAAUGUUAGAAGUUCCAAGAGGAAUGAAAUGUGGACCAAACAUACAGUAUCUAGGAAUUAGCUCUUUUGGAUUAGGAAAAUUGAUAGAUAUACCUGCUAAACUUCCCCCUAAGAAAAUAUCUUAACAGGAAUAAGCAUGGGCAAGGACUUCAUGUCUAAAACACCAAAAGCAAUGGCAACAAAAGCCAAAAUUGACAAAUGGGAUCUAAUUAAACUAAAGAGCUUCUACACAGCAAAAGAAACUACCAUCAGAGUGAACAGGUAACCUACAGAAUGGGAGAACAUUUUUGCAAUCUACUCAUCUGACAAAGGGAUAAUAUCCAGAAUCUACAAAGAACUCAAACAAAUUUACAAGAAAAAAAAACAAAACAACCCCAUCAACAAGUGGGCAAAGGAUAUGAACAGACACUUCUCGAAAGAAGACAUUUAUGCAGCCAACAGACACAUGAAAAAAUGCUCAUCAUCACUGGCCAUCAGAGAAAAGCAAAUCAAAACCACAAUAAGAUACCAUCUCACACCAGUUAGAAUGGCAAUCAUUAAAAAGUCAGGAAACAACAGGUGCUGGAGAGGAUGUGGAGAAAUAAGAACACUUUUACACUGUUAGUGGGACUGUAAACUAGUUCAACCAUUGUGGAAGACAGUGUGGCGAUUCCUCAGGGAUCUAGAACUAGAAACACCAUUUGACCCAGCCAUCCCAUUACUGGGUAUAUACCCAAGGAUUAUAAAUCAUGCUGCUAUAAAGACACAUGCACAUAUAUGUUUAUUGAGGCACUAUUCACAAUAGCAAAGACUUGGAACCAACCCAAAUGUCCAAUAAUGAUAGACUGGAUUAAGAAAAUGUGGCACAUAUACACCAUGGAAUACUAUGCAGCCAUAAAAAAGGAUGAGUUCAUGUCCUUUGCAGGGACAUGGAUGAAGCUGGACACCAUCUUUCUCAGCAAACUAUUGCAAGGACAAAAAACCAAACACCGCAUGUUCUCACUCAUAGGUGGGAAUUGAACAAUGAGAACACUUGGACACAGAGUGGGGAACAUCACACACCGGGACCUGUCAUGGGGUGGGUGGAGGGGGGAGGGAUAGCAUUAGGAUAUAUACCUAAUGUAAAUGACGAGUUAAUGGGUGCAGCACACCAACAUGGUGCAUGUAUACAUAUGUAACAAACCUGCACAUUGUGCACAUGUACCCUAGAACUUAAAGCAUAAUAAUAAAAAAAAGAAAAUAUCUUAACAGGAAUAAUCCAAAAGUUUUAAUGGUUUUAAUAAGUUAAUU
rnacentral:lncRNA from 10 species